rnacentral:rRNA from 1 species
AGACGUAGGGGGCAAGCGUUGUCCGGAAUUACUGGGCGUAAAGGGUGCGUAGGCGGCAUUACAAGUCUAAUGUGAAAUCCCCGUGCUUAACAUGGGGUUUGCAAUAGAAACUGUAAAGCUAGAGUGCAGGAGAGGUAAGUGGAAUUCCUAGUGUAGCGGUGAAAUGCGUAGAUAUUGGGAGGAACACCAGUGGCGAAGGCGGCUUUCUGGACGGUGUCCGACGCUGAGGCGCGAAAGCCAGGGGGGC